GAUUAACGCUGGCGGCGUGCAUAACACAUGCAAGUCGAACGAUGAAACUUAGUAGACUUCUUCGGAAAGACACUAAGCGGCUUAGUGGCGACCGGGUGAGUAACGCGUGAGUACCCUGCCUUACACAAGGGGAUAGCCUUUGGAAACGAAGAAUAAUACCCUAUAAAACCAUAAAAGCACAUGCUAGAAUGGUCAAAGUGAUAGCGGUGUAAGAUGGACUUGCGUCUGAUUAGCUAGUUGGUGAGAUAAAAGCUCACCAAGGCAACGAUCAGUAGCCGGCUUGAGAGAGUGUACGGCCACAUUGGGACUGAGACACGGCCCAGACUCCUACGGGAGGCAGCAGUGGGGAAUUUUGCACAAUGGGGGAAACCCUGAUGCAGCGACGCCGCGUGAUUUAGAAGGCCUUCGGGUUGUAAAAAUCUUUUGUAUAGGAAGAAAAUGACAGUACUAUACGAAUAAGGUCCGGCUAAUUACGUG
rnacentral:rRNA from 1 species